rnacentral:rRNA from 1 species
ACGGCCUAAAGCGUGAUUAAAUUAUAUUAAAAUAAAUAGAAAUAAAAAUUAACUCGACUGUCGAACGUAUUUGUUAAACGGUAAACCAAAACCGAAAGAUAUUCUAAUAAACAACUUACUUGAACCCACGAAAGCUAAGAAACAAACUAGGAUUAGAUACCCUACUAUGCUUAGCCUUAAACUUUGGAAUCUACCCGCCUGAGUACUACGAGCCACAGCUUAAAACUCAAAGGACUUGGCGGUGCUCUACACCCCCCUAGAGGAGCCUGUUCUGUAAUUGAUACCCCCCGCUAAACCUCACCACUUAUUGCCAAUACCGCCUAUAUACCGCCGUCGUCAGCUCACCAUUUAAAUGUGGAAUAGUAGGCAUAAUGAUAAACAUAAAAACGUCAGGUCAAGGUGUAGCGAAUUAAGCGGAAAGAAAUGGGCUACAUUUUCUAAACUAGAAAAUACGAAAAAUUUUAUGAAAAACUAUUUAAAGGUGGAUUUAGCAGUAAAAAGAAAAUAGAGUGUUCUUUUUAAAUUGGCCAUAGAGCGCGCACACACCGCCCGUCACCCUCAUCAAAAACCCAAUUAAUAAUAUAAUAAAAGAGAAAAAAAGAAGAGGUAAGUCGUAACAUGGUAAGUUUACCGGAAGGUGUACUUGGAUUAU